CAGUAGCCGCGGUAAUACGUAGGGUGCAAGCGUUAAUCGGAAUUACUGGGCGUAAAGCGUGCGCAGGCGGUUCUAUAAGACAGAUGUGAAAUCCCCGGGCUCAACCUGGGAACUGCAUUUGUGACUGUAGAGCUGGAGUGCGGCAGAGGGGGAUGGAAUUCCGCGUGUAGCAGUGAAAUGCGUAGAUAUGCGGAGGAACACCGAUGGCGAAGGCAAUCCCCUGGGCCUGCACUGACGCUCAUGCACGAAAGCGUGGGGAGCAAACAGGAUUAGAUACCCGAGUAGUCCCUGUCUCUUAUAC
rnacentral:rRNA from 1 species